rnacentral:lncRNA from 1 species
UCUCAAGUUUCUUCAGCACUGCCUUGGGCGGCUGCAUAAUCUGAAGAAGAUGUAAAGGUAUGGAAGAAAGUACUGACCUCAGUAAUGUAAUACGACCCCCAGGCGAUAGUAAUCGUGAGGCCCAACCUGAUAUCCUAUUCCUUAUCUUCUGGAUAAGGUUAUCAUAAAGGAAGCUCCUCUUAGUCCCCUUGAAUAAGGGGACACCCAAGUAAGUGAAAGGCUGCUGCUGAUGUCUGAAGCCAGUCAAAAUCUCUAGUCGUCUGAUCUGACUAGUGGAUGCCCGUCUGGAUAGUAUAAUACCGCUCUUGUCUCUAUUCACCAAUUGGCCAGAAACUCCUUCAUAGUGCUCCAAGCAGUCUAAGACCCUCCUGAUAGACUGUUUCUGACCGUUGGCAAAGAUGAUCAUAUCGUCAGCAAAUGAGAGAUGUGAGACAAGAGCACUACCUCCAUGUCGAUAACACAUACUGGGAUACUGCUGAAACCUCUGAGUGAGCAAGCGUGAGAAGUAGUCUGCUGCAAUGAUGAACAAGGAUGGGGAGAUAGGAUCACCCUGUCUGAAUCCUCGUGAGGAGGGAAAAAACCACAUGGGCGGCCAUUUAGGAGUACGGAGAAACGACACUCCGAAACGCACCGCCUGAUUCUGUCAAUCCAGAUCUGAUCAAAUCCAAAUGCCUCCAAUAUAGAAUAAAUGAAGCCCCAGUCCAUGCGAUCAUAUGCUUUAGCCAUGUCUAACUUCAGCAUAGUGUUUCCCCCUCGUACUCUAUCAUCCAAAGUGUAGAGAAGCUCCUGAGCCAAUAAAACAUUAUCUCCAAUCAGACGGCCUGGGAUGAAACCACUCUGUGGAGAGGAAAUAAUGCGCGGUAGCAGUGUACUCAACCGAGUGUUCAAAAGCUUAGUAAUAAUCUUAUUGAACACUGUGCAUAAACUGAUUGGUAUGAAUUCAGUCCAUCUGCAAGCACCAUCCUUCUUAGGUAGCAAGACAAUAGAAGUAGCAGCAAAACCCCGUGGAAGAUGACUACCAUCAAAGAAAUCCAAUACCGCCCUGUAAACAUCCUCCUGAAUGAUAUCCCAGCAAUGCUGGAAGAAUAGGGAUGAGAAGCCAUCCGGACCAGCGACACUGUCAGCAUGAAACAUAAAACUUUAACUUGAAGUCAAGACAUGCUCUUAUCAUAUACUCAGCAUGAAACAUAAAACUUUACAAAGAAUUUACAAAAACAAAAAAUCUUAUAAAUAACAUUUGUUCUUUAAA